GGGGCCGAUUUGGAUUCGACGCCGGUUACAAAACUUAUGUGUGCAUGCCGUGAUGGUAGCCAAUCACGUUAAUCCAAAGCUGCAAACUAUUAGUUGCCAACGAUGACAACUACGGUGCUCAACUAGCUGCGUAAGUAGCUUUUUGUUGUACCUUCUAGUGGAUGCGUCCGCUAGCGGCCUUUAGCAAGGUGCCAGUACCGCGCUAAUGUCCGUCACUCAGAACUGGAUCGUUGUGAAGCCGCGCCUGAGGUGGAUCUGCUAAACAUUAAUCAGGAUCGCCAAUUUCGUCCUGCCCGUCGGGCUGAAUGCGGCUAAAUUAAUUGACGGAAUCUAAGCAUGUAGAGCGCUAAGCAGCGGACUGACGGACGCGGGUUCAAUUCCCGCCGGCUCCACCA
rnacentral:tmRNA from 1 species